rnacentral:piRNA from 1 species
CGCAAUCAAGUGGAGGCGUCAGCAGC